UUUUUUUUGGUUGCCAAGUCACCCUGAGUGUUUUGUUGUUGCGGGCGUGUUGUGACAAUUUCCAUCCUCAUCAGAUUAUCAUCUCUUUUCUUCUUAAUGAAUAUAGGAAUCCUGACAUUUCGAAGAAAAGAACAUGCGGGUAUCUCGGUUCCAACCACGAACGAUAGUGCACGAGAUGGAUGCAAUGGAACAUGUACUUAGUGGUACACUUUUCUACAGUAUCGAGGUAAGGUGCUGUGUCACUUUUUACCGAGCUGCAAUCAUUCGGUCAGAUUCAUGUUCUGCAUUUCGAUGAUACCCAAUAAUGUCCUCAUCAUCUGAUGAGGAUGAGAUGACACUGUUCCGGGGACACAUCUGGUGCCAUCAUUUUCCCUGCUUUAUAAUGUGUCGGUACUGCUGCUUUAUCAUCCAUCAGUUUUGGAUCGUACAAAGUCUCAAGUCACCGGCUCCAUCUUCAGAAAUUGUGGAGCCCUGGCUUCCAGAUCUAGUUACGUUGCACUUGGUUAGAGAGUCCUCGUACCCACACAACUUUAGGAGUUCUUCAACAGCGAUGCGCAGGUAAUGGCAAUUGUAUGUCACCCAAGUACCAGGCCUGCUUUGGUUCACAGAAAUUUUAUAGGAACUGUAGAGGAUAGGAAUUUUUCCAUUUUGUUUGUUGGAAUGGAUUACUAUUUGGAUGUAGGAUAGAAACUAACCCUUCGCAUUUCAAAGAAAAAUAAAACAUUAGCCUAAACUCAAUAUAAAAGUUUCUAUCAUAUGCAUCAAAUGACAUAUCUUUCUCUGUAGGAAUUGAGAUAUUCAUAUUAUCGUCUCAUUUCCUAUGAAACAAAAAAAGGCCUGAACGUAAAAGAAAAAAAAUAGAUUAUUUUCUGCCAGGUCAGUUGCUACGCACAUGUCCACACUGGUGGGUAAAAACCAGCGUGGAUUCACCGAGCUUAGGUUGGCAAAAGAGUUUAGAACCGCAGGCCAAAGAUCCACCAUAUCAGGGCAAGCAAGCGUGACGACCUGAGAACAGUAAAAGCGUGGUGCCCUAGGGCCAGAAGGAUGUGGAAUGAGUCGACACAGCAGCCAGUAGGUGACAAUAGUUUUCCUCUUUACACAAUCACGUAUAUCAUCAUUACCCCGCAAGGACCAAUGGAACUAUACACUGAGAUUUUCCUCCAAUGGAAAAACACACUUUUCAUCAUACAACCAACCAACCAACCAACCCUCGGCCAACUUUUACCUUUUGAUGAAGAAGGCGAGCACAAACUUUUCACUAACCGGAUCCGCAUCAUCAC
rnacentral:lncRNA from 1 species